UUUAUGGAGAGUUUGAUCCUGGCUCAGGAUGAACGCUGGCGGCGUGCCUAAUACAUGCAAGUCGAGCGAACAGACAAGGAGCUUGCUCCUUUGACGUUAGCGGCGGACGGGUGAGUAACACGUGGGUAACCUACCUAUAAGACUGGGAUAACUUCGGGAAACCGGAGCUAAUACCGGAUAAUAUUUCGAACCGCAUGGUUCGAUAGUGAAAGAUGGUUUUGCUAUCACUUAUAGAUGGACCCGCGCCGUAUUAGCUAGUUGGUAAGGUAACGGCUUACCAAGGCGACGAUACGUAGCCGACCUGAGAGGGUGAUCGGCCACACUGGAACUGAGACACGGUCCAGACUCCUACGGGAGGCAGCAGUAGGGAAUCUUCCGCAAUGGGCGAAAGCCUGACGGAGCAACGCCGCGUGAGUGAUGAAGGUCUUCGGAUCGUAAAACUCUGUUAUUAGGGAAGAACAUACGUGUAAGUAACUAUGCACGU
rnacentral:rRNA from 1 species